rnacentral:sRNA from 1 species
GCCGGGUGUGGUGGCACACACCUGUAGUCCCAGCUACUUGGGAGGCUGAAACAGAAGAAUUGCUUGAACCCAGAAGGCGGAGGUUGCAGUGAGCUGAGAUCGCGCCACUGCACUCCAGUCUGGGUGACAGAGCAAGACUCUGUCUCAA